rnacentral:misc_RNA from 1 species
UGCAGAUGGGCACAGGGGCCCCGU